rnacentral:tRNA from 1 species
CAAAAAGUAGUUUAAAGGAAAACGAAGGCCUUGGGAGCCUUAGAUUUAUUCGCUGUUAACUUUUUGA